AUUGAACGCUGGCGGCAUGCCUUACACAUGCAAGUCGAACGGCAGCACGGGUGCUUGCACCUGGUGGCGAGUGGCGAACGGGUGAGUAAUAUAUCGGAACGUACCUUAUUGUGGGGGAUAACGCAGCGAAAGCUGUGCUAAUACCGCAUAAUCCCUAAGGGGGAAAGCGGGGGACCGUAAGGCCUCGCGCAAUUAGAGCGGCCGAUACGGGAUUAGCUAGUUGGUGAGGUAAAGGCUCAACAAGGCAGCGAUCAGUAGCUGGUCUGAGAGGACGAUCAGCCACACUGGGACUGAGACACGGCCCAGACUCAUACGGGAGGCAGCAGUGGGGAAUUUUGGACAAUGGGGGCAACCCUGAUCCAGCAGUGGCGCGUGAGUGAAGAAGGCCGUCGGGUUGUAAAGCUCUGUUGUCAGGGAAGAAACAGCAGCUCUAACACAGUUUGCGAAUGACGGUACCUGAAGAAUAAGCACCGGCUAACUACGUGCCAGCCGCCGCCGUAA
rnacentral:rRNA from 1 species